AUACGUAGGGUGCGAGCGUUAAUCGGAAUUACUGGGCGUAAAGCGUGCGCAGGCGGUUCGUUAAGUCUGAUGUGAAAGCCCCGGGCUCAACCUGGGAAUGGCAUUGGAAACUGGCGGGCUUGAGUGUGGCAGAGGGGGGUGGAAUUCCGCGUGUAGCAGUGAAAUGCGUAGAGAUGCGGAGGAACACCGAUGGCGAAGGCAGCCCCCUGGGCUAACACUGACGCUCAGGCACGAAAGCGUGGGGAGCAAACAGGAUUAGAUACCCUGGUAGUCCACGCCCUAAACGAUGAUCACUGGGUGUUCGGGGAGCGAUCUCUGAGUACCGAAGCUAACGCGUGAAGUGAUCCGCCUGGGGAGUACGGUCGCAAGAUUAAA
rnacentral:rRNA from 1 species